CAGGAAAAGGAUCCACAUUGAGACCAAGCAGCACCAUCCCCUUGGGGGUGUUGAAGGUGCCGGCUCAGCAAGACCCCAUCUACGACUACAUCGACGAAGGAAAAGAAACAUAGACCCUCGAGCCCAGCCUUGGCACUGACGGACUCACCUACGCCGAGCUGGACCGCCAGGCGCUGCAGGCCAAGCAGGGGGACCUGGUAUCUGGUCUGUGCUGCUGCAGAUCGCAAGCCACAGAACCUCACCCAUCCACUUCUGUAGCACACCCCAGCGUCCGGCUGAGUCACUUAUGGCCUCAAAUCAUGGAUUAAAGACUUCAAGUUACAGAGAAUCCACCACUGACACUAGUUUAAACCUACCAGUGCCCCGCGCCCCAGGCUGCAGACGAAGGCGAAACCCCCCCCUAGGGUCUCUGCCAAUCUGACCUGGGGGAGAAAUUCCUUCCCGGCACCAGAUACAGUGACCAGUGAGUGUCUCGUCUCUGACCGUUGGAGGGAUGUACUGCUAACAGUCACAGAUCGGCUCCAUGCUGUUGUGGGAUGUCUCCUCAUCCUGUCCCCUCCAGAAGCUCAGUCUUGAAGCCAGUUAGGUCCUGUAAUGAAGUGGGACUGUUCUUAGUGUUUCCUCUGAAUACUGUG